GCAGUACAUACGCAGUAACUCGGCCCGUUUCUAGUCAGAAGGGUGGUGUGGAGAGUCGGGGAACAUUAUAUUAUCCACUGGUUCAGGAAGGACUGAGGUGCUGCUGUAAAAGACGAGGAGGAGGCGCGAGAACGUGCCUUUGGUACACGUUGGCAGAAAGGUGAAGGUGGCCAGUGACGACAGCAGGAAUAAAGGCGCUAUUACACGGACAUUUUCUGGUGUCUUUUAUCGGCAUCUUGCCACUGAGUCUGGAUGGUGAUCUGAAGCACAUGAAACACUUCACUCUCUGUACCAUGCUUCAGUCCCUUCCUGUACUUGUGAGCAAGAUGGUGUAGGAGAGCCAGACAGUGGAGGAGAGCCACUUCAGGAGAAAUGGAGAUGCUGCAGAGGAAGACGGGAAGAGAUAGGACCUGCAUGGAAGUAAAUACUGGUAGAAAUCAAGGUUGAGGAAGGCAACAGUUCAACUCUUGGCCUUCUGAAGCUGUGCCUUCUCAGGUUAUGGCAGCUCCCACACUUACCUCAGGAAUUAAGAUGUGAUGAGAGGCCACAUAGCACCAAUUGUGAGUGUAGCACAGGGAAAAAGUUAUGCCUCAAGAAUAUGUGAACUGUGCAUCAUCUCCAGACUGAGUCAACACUCCUCUCUGAAACUCAAGUAGAAACUCUUCAGUGGCAGAAUUGGUGGAAGAGAACAUAUGUGGUGGAGGUUGAUGGCAGAUAGGGAAAAGGAGAGAAUUGCAA